rnacentral:rRNA from 1 species
UACGUAGGGUGCAAGCGUUAAUCGGAAUUACUGGGCGUAAAGCGUGCGCAGGCGGUGAUGUAAGACAGAUGUGAAAUCCCCGGGCUCAACCUGGGAACUGCAUUUGUGACUGCAUCGCUGGAGUACGGCAGAGGGGGAUGGAAUUCCGCGUGUAGCAGUGAAAUGCGUAGAUAUGCGGAGGAACACCGAUGGCGAAGGUAAUCCCCUGGGCCUGUACUGACGCUCAUGCACGAAAGCGUGGGGAGCAAACAGG